UCUAAUAUGACAGAAUAGUGUAAUGGCCUUAAACCCCAUAAAUAAGAAAAAAAAAUUUAGUUUCUUUUUUAGAA
rnacentral:tRNA from 1 species